UACGUAGGUGACAAGCGUUGUCCGGAUUUACUGGGCGUAAAGAGCGCGCAGGCGGUCGUUCAAGUCGAGUGUGAAAGCCCCCGGCUCAACUGGGGAGGGUCACUCGAUACUGAUCGACUUGAAGGCAGGAGAGGGAAGCGGAAUUCCCGGUGUAGUGGUGAAAUGCGUAGAUAUCGGGAGGAACACCAGUGGCGAAGGCGGCUUCCUGGCCUGCUCUUGACGCUGAGGCGCGAAAGCUAGGGUA
rnacentral:rRNA from 1 species